rnacentral:lncRNA from 1 species
GGCGGUGCUGCAUGCUCCCCAACAGUGGAGGAGGUACAUGUUUGACAGGGGCUUUUGAGUGAACCAUGUGAAAUGCUGUUUGAACCGGACAAGUUAUCAGUUUGGUUAAUCACAGAAGAAAAUUCAGAUUCCCUUGGAGGUUCAUCCUGUGACCUUGGAUUUUGACGAGGCUGUAAUCUGUUCCUUGAAGAAAACAAGUGAAGAAGGUUUACAACCUGUAUCAGCGAAACACCCUGCAGUCAGUAGCUAUCAGUAGCUAAAUAAAUAAACAGAGCACCAGGAAACUGUGAAAAAAACCUG